UGGGGAAUUUUGGACAAUGGGGGGAAACCCUGAUCCAGCCAUCCCGCGUGUGCGAUGAAGGCCUUCGGGUUGUAAAGCACUUUUGGCAGGAAAGAAACGUCGUGGGUUAAUACCCCGCGAAACUGACGGUACCUGCAGAAUAAGCACCGGCUAACUACGUGCCAGCAGCCGCGGUAAUACGUAGGGUGCAAGCGUUAAUCGGAAUUACUGGGCGUAAAGCGUGCGCAGGCGGUUCGGAAAGAAAGAUGUGAAAUCCCAGAGCUUAACUUUGGAACUGCAUUUUUAAACUACCGGGCUAGAGUGUGUCAGAGGGAGGUGGAAUUCCGCGUGUAGCAGUGAAAUGCGUAGAUAUGCGGAGGAACACCGAUGGCGAAGGCAGCCUCCUGGGAUAACACUGACGCUCAUGCACGAAAGCGUGGGGAGCAAACAGGAUUAGAUACCCUGGGUAGUCCACGCCCUAAACGAUGUCAACUAGCUGUUGGGGUCUUCGGACCUUGGUAGCGCAGCUAACGCGUGAAGUUGACCGCCCUGGGGGAGUACGGUCGCAAGA
rnacentral:rRNA from 1 species